rnacentral:lncRNA from 1 species
AAAAUUAUUUGUGUAGCCCAAAAUGGCAAGCCCAAAGGGAGUCAGAGUAGAGGGAGCGGUAACUCUUCAAUAUAACACCAUCAUCUGUAGCUCAAAUCGAAAAAUUGUCUUCAUGAAAAUUGUUCCUUAACGUGGGAACUACAACAUACCCAAAUUUGAGAUCCAUCGGAGUAGUACAACUCCAGACAUUCAGGUAUGAUGAGUAACUACUCAUGAUUUUUCUGUUAACCCGUCAGACUUGUUGUGAGCUUUGAAACUCCAUUUUCUCUUUUUCAGAUCAACAUACUUUCUUCAUCGAAGUUGUUCCUCAUCAUCUCUUCCAUAACAUAUCAAAAAUUCAGAACAAACUAACGGUUGAAUAUUUCCAGAUCUUCGAAACACCGCAGCAGCUUUGAAGCUUGCAGAAAUCUGACCGUCAUGUUUGGAGCUUCAACACUCUAACUUCCGUCGCUCAAAUAGAAAAUUUUCCUUCGUGAAAGUUGUUCAUCUGCUCAAGAACUAUAAGAUGUCCAAAAUUCAGCUCCACUGGAAUUAGCUUCGCACUAUCUUGAUGAAGAGUGUGUGAAGCUUUUAUAUGUUUUGGUGUUGAAAUUUGGUAUUGUAGGUGAAGUUUUGGGGUUGAAGCUUUAUAAGUGAAGCUUUGGUGUUGAAGCUUUAUAGGUGAAGCUUUGGUGUUGAAGCUUUAUAGGUGAAGCUUUGGUGGUGAAGCUUUAUAGGUGAAGCUUUGUGUUUGAAGCUUUAUAGGUGAAGCUUUGGUGUUGAAGCUUUAUAGGUGAAGCUUUAUAGGUGAAGCUUUGGUUGACACCAUAAAUUAAUUGUGCUUCGCACUAUCUUGAUGAACAUAGUGCGAAGCUUUUGAGAUUGAUACUUGUCCUCCAUUGAUGAAGCUUGUGUUGGCAUCAUAAAUUGAUUGUACUUCGCACUAUCUUGAUGAACAUAGUGCGAAGCUUUUGAGAUUGAUAGUUGUCCUCCAUUGAUGAAGCUUUUGUUGGCACCAUAAAUUGAUUGUGCUUCGCACUAUCUUGAUGAACAUAGUGCGAAGCUUUUGAGAUUGAUACUUGUCCUCCAUUGAUGAAGCUUUUGUUGGCACCAUAAAUUGAUUUUGCUUCACACUAUCUUGAUGAAGAUAGUGCAAAGCUUUUGAGGAUUGUAGUUGUGUUUCAUUGAUGAAGCUUUGUUGAAUUUCUCAAUUUCCAAUUUCCUCUUCUUUUUUUUUUUUUUUUUUUUUUUUUUGUUUUUGUUUUUUUUGUUUUGUUUUUGUUUUUGUUUUUUGUUUUUGUUUUUUUUGGGAAAACUAGAAAUUUGAAAAUGUGGGAGAGACAACGUAUACAAAUUUUGCUUCCAUACUGUUAAGCGAGAGAUUGUGAUGCAAGCCACAUCUUGUAGUAGUCGAAGGUUUGGAUGAACCAUAUAAAUUGAAUUUGCUUCGAACAGUCUUGAUCAAAAGCGUUUGAAGCUUUCUAUGAGUUGUAGUGUUUGCAUUGUUACAGAGGAGAAAUG